rnacentral:lncRNA from 1 species
CUAACAAUUCUAAAAAGCAAAAUGUCCUAUGGGGUAAAAUUUUAAAUUAUCCUCUUUAUAAACAUCCAUUAACAAAUGCAUUUAGAUGAUUAUAAUGUGACUAAACCUUAACAAACAAUCAUAUUUACUCUCUAAUCUUUGUAAGUGUUCAAAUUUCAUUCCAAGUCACUUUGCAGAACUUUCUAAGUAGGCUGGAAGAUUACUUGAAAAUGAUGCAAUUGACCCUUAACCCAUAUUUAUAGUAGGAAGUUAGACAGUGACUCAGGAGGAGGCAGGAUAAAACCUGAAAUUUUAGUACUAAGUAACAUACAGUGUUGAGCCUUUUAAAGAGUGAAACACAUCAGAUUCAGAUAAUUAAGAAUGCAUCAAACUAUAUAACAAGACCUAGUGGUCAGUAAGUGAUUCUUGGCUUA